UAGCUCAAGUGGUAGAGUGCAUGCUUAGCAUGCAUGAGGUCCUGGGUUCAAUCCCCAG
rfam:Camelus ferus unplaced genomic scaffold scaffold486, whole genome shotgun sequence.